UACCAGCACCCCGAGUGGUCGGGACGUUUAUUGGGCCUAAAGCAUCCGUAGCCGGUUCUACAAGUCUUCCGUUAAAUCCACCUGCUCAACAGAUGGGCUGCGGAAGAUACUAUGGAGCUAGGAGGCGGGAGAGGCAAGCGGUACUCGAUGGGUAGGGGUAAAAUCCGUUGAUCCAUUGAAGACCACCAGUGGCGAAGGCGGCUUGCCAGAACGCGCUCGACGGCGAGGGAUGAAAGCUGGGGGAGCAAACCGG
rnacentral:rRNA from 1 species